GCUUACGGCCAUACCAACCUGGCUAUGCCUGAUCUCAUCUGAUCUCGGAAGCUAAGCAGGUUUGGGCCUGGUUAAUUACUUGGAUGGUGAGACCGCCUGGGAAUACCAGUGCUGUAAGCU
rnacentral:rRNA from 1 species